AUUGAACGCUGGCGGCAGGCCUAACACAUGCAAGUCGAGCGGAUGAAGGGAGCUUGCUCCUGGAUUCAGCGGCGGACGGGUGAGUAAUGCCUAGGAAUCUGCCUGGUAGUGGGGGAUAACGUCCGGAAACGGGCGCUAAUACCGCAUACGUCCUGAGGGUGAAAGUGGGGGAUCUUCGGACCUCACGCUAUCAUAUGAGCCUAGGUCGGAUUAGCUAGUUGGUGGGGUAAGGGGCUACCAAGGCGACGAUCCGUAACUGGUCUGAGAGGAUGAUAGGUCACACUGGAACUGAGACACGGUCAAGACUCCUACGGGAGGCAGCAGUGGGGAAUAUUGGACAAUGGGCGAAAGCCUGAUCCAGCCAUGCCGCGUGUGUGAAGAAGGUCUUCGGAUUGUAAAGCACUUUAAGUUGGGAGGAAGGGCAGUAAGUUAAUACCUUGCUGUUUUGACGGUACCAACAGAAUAAGCACCGGCUAACUUCGUG
rnacentral:rRNA from 1 species